CCCCAGUGUGUAAGCGCUGAACUAGAAGUCGACUUACAGGUUGCACACUGGGUGUAGUGUUCUAACAGCAAACACUCCAAAGAAGAACCAGGAAGAUCAAUGCUGCCACAGUGAUUAACAGUAGGGAUUAUUGCUUGUCAGGCUGUUUAUUUUUCCCAGUCCCUCAGAUAAUCAGGAUGGAGCAUCAACUUUUCUUAUCAUGCUCUAAAAAAUCUGUAACUGAAGGGCCUGCUUUACAAACACAAGACACUGUAAGUUCAGUGCAAAGGUGAGAGAAACCGUGGUUCCCAAAUGCAGCCUUACUGGAUUUCCUUAAGGCCUGCACAGAAGCCACAGACAGGAACCCAAACUGAACCUUGGCUCCUAUUCCAAGGAUCCAUGCAAAUUCACAAAGCAGUGUGGUAGUGCUAAACAUCACAGCGCUGAAGCCUUGGUAUUCUUGAAUGCACCUGGAAACAGCUUGCUUUUUUAAUGUCGUCAGGGCACCUGCAGAUUGACUGAGCAUUCAAGAACUGAGGUAUCCAGGGAGUUAUCCUCUAAUUUCUAGCAUGUAAAACAGAGCUCUUGAUUACACUCCUCAGAAUACAUUUUGCAAUAAUUAGAAAUGUGCUUGAGAGGCGGGGAAGAAAACAAAGGCAUUUUCGCUCUAGCAACAGCACGUGCUACAAACUGGUUUCUCCUGGACUGUAUCCACCUGGAGGUCCCAUGUGGGAAAUGUUUCCAUUACAUUCGGUUCCACCACACAUUUAGCAUCAAGCGUAUGCUUAAAUCUCACUGGGAUCCAGCCGAUCUCUUGGGCAGAAUUCCUAUCAACUUCAAUGUGACUCAAAUUUGGCUCUGUAAGAUCAGUGAGAGCUUAAAAAAAAUUUAGCUCAUAUAUAUAAAGAAACGUUUAAAAUUUGAGUAGCUUUUAGAGCUUUGGUGCAAAGCUACAACCAAUAAGAGAGUAGAAAGUCCAGAUGUUUGCAGAAUUCCAUUUGAAUACUGAGCCACAAACACCGCAGAGCUCAGCCAUUUAUUCCUAUUUCAACCCCUAAAUUCCUUCUGUAUCAGCUUAUGAUUUAAUAAUAAAACCAUACAUAGUAGUAAAUAAAAGAUUAGGAAGGUUGAAGGCUGUUGGAAUUGAUUUCACACUAUUUUGUAUUUUAAAAAUAUUCUUGCAGAGAUUUAUUCUCUUCUCACCGUGUGGAGGAUUUGCAUGGAUAACCCAUUGGAGUUAAUGGCUGUGCUGAGAACAAAUCUUCUCUCUCCUACAUGUCCCUGCUCCUGCUAACCCAUCAAGAUGAACACCCGUUUCAGGCUACUCUGUACAACGCAUGGAAACAUUGUCAGAGCCUGCCCUUGUACUCACUUCUAACAGAAAGCCAAUUCAAGCAAUGCACAGAAAUCCCAAGACUUGAAGUAAUUGGAGAAACCAAAUGAAGACCCAAACUUACCAUCCGAUUCGGAGGCUGCUCUGAAAAUCAAGUAGCUGCUGGGAAGAGGCUGAGUGAUGGAACCAACGUUUUCUCCCUUUGGGCCCUGGAAAUGCAUAAACACAAAAAAAGGAGCUAUUCAGAGGUGUUUGAAGAUUAAAGUUUGCCAUGAUAGAAGGCAGGACCAGUCGAGAAGACUAGAUGGCCCUGAAUGAGGAGAAAAACAGUGGUCAAAAAUAGCAUCCUGCAAUGUGAAUCCACCUGUACUUUGCCACAUAUAAAGUUUCAGGACUUCAGUGAGAAGGUGUCACUAACUGAGUCUUUGUACAAGGAGAAAUUACAGUUGUCAUCGGGUCCAAUAUGUUUCACUCUUUGCUGUGGAAAUAUAAAAUCCAACUGUCAAUAAAACAAGCUGUAUCUGCUUGUUCUCCCUUCUGUAUCAAAACACACCUAUGGAAAGAGGUCAGCAGAUCCUUUCAGAGAGGAAGAAAGAAAGAAACAUCAUCACUUCCUUUUGUACUAUGCAGUUUUUGGGACCUUGUUCUACUUAAAGACGUGCAACAGACAGAUGGAAAAAAAAUUCCCCAAUGUCUUAGUUCAAGUUUUACAGCAACAUCAACUCAAAACUGGUCAGUCUUCCUACACUCAGUGCUCGUGCGUAACUCUCAGACAGAGCAACUAUUUCCCAUUAUAUUUUUCCAGAUCGUCUCGGAACAAUCUGUACGAAGUACCUUCAACCAGUCCGCUGUGAUCACUACGCUGGGAUCCUUCAGGGCACUGAAGAGUUGUUUGGUAGCUCUUUUCUUCUCCUGUCUGUAAUUUUUUUUUUGGACCUGGUUCAGAACAGAAAAAAAAUACAGUGGCUGUAAGCACGACCUCUAUGGAGGAGGAAAGAACAUAACGCAUUAAGGGCAGCUAAGUAUAGCAUAGCUACAACCUGACCCAGCACAGGUUCCCCAGAAAUGAGCACAGAGAGGAGCAAAACAUAAUGAAAGAACAGAUUCUUUCUUUGUUUAUGAAGUUCCACUAAAUGCAAACUAAUUUUUCUACUUUUGGGAGAAUGGAACAAGGUUGAAUGCCCAGUUCUCCUCACCCCUCAAAUUAAAGAGAUUUAAUCUAAUUUCACCCAAAUCAAAUUAUUUAUACUUUUGGUUUGGGAGACAAACAAAUGUUCAGGAGAUAAUAUGCUUAGUUUGCCUAGGCAUGCCCCUCCUAACAAGACCAGUGAAGCAUCACAGUCCUCUGGAUGUGCCUUACGGCUCUGGAGCAUAAGAACAGAGCAAAAUAAUUACACUGAUUUAUUCUGUUUGCAAUAUAUAACCUAAUCCUGUAUAAAGCUCAUUAAUGCCCGUGGCACAGAAUGACUCCUAAAAGAGUCAGAGGCUUUUUUGGAACUUGGGAAAUGACUCAGAAGAGUUCCCAGUGGUUUGUUUGAAAGGUACCACUUUUGUAAAAGAAAGUCAGCUGAUGCUGACUUGGCUGCUUGGCACAUACCUUCAGUGUUUCCUUCUUAGUGAAUUUGGCUGUGGGAGACACACACUCUUUGUCAGAUCCAUUGCAAAACUUAUAUUCGAUCUGAAAAAAAAAAAAAAAAAAGAGGAAAAGAGAAAAUAGGAACAAAAUAACAUGAAGAUGGUCAUGCAGAGCUCUAGUGAAGGGUCAUUUGUAACUUCCAAGAAUUCAUGAGGGAGCUGACUUCAGACUUCGGCAGCAGAACUACAGGUGGGCUCAGAAACAGCAUAUAUGCAGUGUGCUCCAAAUCUCCUCUUUAUAUUCAUACUUAGUUGGGAAAUUUCCCAUACUCUUCAUAUUUCUCCCAAUUAGGCAUUAAUCUUGGUAAGAACAAACCAAAACACCUAUUCUCAAUGAUUAACGUCUUUUCCAUUCUUAAAACAUUUUAAUUACUGGGAUGAAAAUGACACAAAAUCUAGUAGAACUCUCUCAGUACUAGACUUGGUAUUGGUAAUCACAUUGGCAUAGCCAAAACAUACAGGAACAUGAGUAGGCAAGAAAUGACCUAAUCACAUUACAGAUCAUACAGACAAUCAUCAUCAUCCGGCCUUAAGAAGUCAGGCCCAAAAUAUAUAGUCACUUCAAAUCAUGUUUGAUACUGUCAGUGCUGUUUAAAUUCAUUUUCAGAGGCUGAAGACUGAUCUCCUGUUUGUACUGAUGGGCUAAAAAAUGCUUUACCUUGUUAGACAGGGUCACAGUUUUACCGUUCCUGAGAUAAAGUACACUUAGAAAGUGUACUUCAGAUAGGAACUGUCAGCAAAUUGACUAAACCUGGGGAGUGCUAUAGUGGCACGAGAAUUACAGUAUGGUCUAGUCUCUGCUACUUCCUAAGUGACCUUAGGAAAGUUACUAUCUGUCUCUGUACUUCUUUUCCUUCCAACCUUUCAUGGUUCUGAUGUAUUUAGACUGUGAUCUUUUGGGGUCAGACACUGUCUCUCCUAUUAUACAAUGGUUUUACAAAAAAAAUUCAGCUCUUAGUCAACUUGAUUCGGUGAGCUUGACAGAAAAAAUGAUAAAAUACAUAAAAUACAGUUCUCAUCUACAAAUUUACACAUGGCUUAAAUAAAAACACACAGACAGAUGACCAGAUCACAGCAAACUGACCAUCAACUGUGCUUUGGAGACUGCGGCAGAAGCACAAAAGGGAGAUGAGGAUGCAUCCUCAAAUGAAUAUCUCUAGAGCAAAAUUCUUUCUGGCUGAUGCAGGGCUGGAAAUUAGGGGUACAAACUGCAGUUUGCAACAGAGCCAGGGUCACUGUAGAACCUAGCACUUGUUCUUACAUACACACAGCAGUCUUUCACUGAAAGCAAAACUACCUGUGACACUUCAGAAUACAUAAAGAAAUGAAAACCCUGUGAAAGCACAGAGAUCAGUGAAACCUCCACUUUGACCGCCCAAUCCAAGUCCACUUUGCACUGAGCCCACUCAGGGAAAACACCAGCUCUGGGUUCCUGCAAAAUACCCGAUAUUUGUCAUUUUUGUCUUAGUAGAAGCCAGUCUUCUCUACC